AACGAACGCUGGCGGCAUGCCUAACACAUGCAAGUCGAACGAGACCUUCAGGUCUAGUGGCGCACGGGUGCGUAACGCGUGGGAAUCUACCCUCAGGUUCGGAAUAACUCAGAGAAAUUUGAGCUAAUACCGGAUGAUGACGUAAGUCCAAAGAUUUAUCGCCUGAGGAUGAGCCCGCGUAGGAUUAGGUAGUUGGUGAGGUAAAGGCUCACCAAGCCGACGAUCCUUAGCUGGUCUGAGAGGAUGAUCAGCCACACUGGGACUGAGACACGGCCCAGACUCCUACGGGAGGCAGCAGUGGGGAAUAUUGGACAAUGGGCGAAAGCCUGAUCCAGCAAUGCCGCGUGAGUGAUGAAGGCCUUAGGGUUGUAAAGCUCUUUUACCCGGGAUGAUAAUGACAGUACCGGGAGAAUAAGCUCCGGCUAACUCCGUG
rnacentral:rRNA from 1 species